CUUUCAGUUAAUACCUUCCGGUAAACUUCCUGUGUGCUGCUAGAGCGCUCACCUACACCGCCCACCCCUGGGUCCCUGAUCUGAAUUAGGACUCAUACAGUGUGGAGGAGGACUUUGGCCGACAUCCAGACUUUUAAGAGUGUGAUAGUAGCCUGAUUAUUAAAUUCAGAGAUUCAUACCAUGUUCUUAACAAGAACUGUUAAUAAGCAUCAAAAUCCACGGGCCAUAAAUAUAGAAACUAAGAAGAUUGAGAAAUAGUGCAUUCGUGUUCCAAAUACAUACCUCCAAUAUUAAUAAUUGCCCAAGCAACUUUUGAAAUGCUCACUGACAUAUGUGUUUCCGUUUGUAAAGGACAAUAACUGAGCAAGUCUGAGGAAGAGACCAUUUAAAAGAGCAUCUCGAAUGAGUUUUCAGUAAUAAAAUUUAUUAGCCAACUCCCUGCUCCCGCAGUAUUUGGAAAGUAAAUGUUUGCUCGCUUUAUUACAAUAAUUCAAAAGUCACUAUCAUGGUAUCGUUUUCUUGCUUAUGUC
rnacentral:lncRNA from 1 species